rnacentral:rRNA from 1 species
UACGUAUGUCCCGAGCGUUAUCCGGAUUUAUUGGGCGUAAAGCGAGCGCAGACGGUUGUUUAAGUCUGAUGUGAAAGCCCGGAGCUCAACUCCGGAAUGGCAUUGGAAACUGGUUAACUUGAGUGUUGUAGAGGGAAGUGGAACUCCAUGUGUAGCGGUGGAAUGCGUAGAUAUAUGGAGGAACACCAGUGGCGAAGGCAGCUCAGUGGACAACAACUGACGCUGAGGCUCGAAAGUGUGGGUAGCAAACAGG